UCCCUCUUGCGAGGGCAGUCCUGUAUGAGAAAUACAACAUACAGCGAGGGUUGCGCUCGUUGGAGGACUUAACCCAACAUCUCACGACACGAGCUGACGACAACCAUGCAGCACCUCUAGAGCAGUCCGGUAAAGAACAUUGACAUCUCUGCCAACUUCCACUCCAGUUCAAGCCCAGGUAAGGUUCUUCGCGUUGCGUCGAAUUGAACCACAUGCUCCACCGCUUGUGCGGGCCCCCGUCAAUUCCUUUGAGUUUUAAUCUUGCGAUCGUACUCCCCAGGCGGAAUGCUUAAUGCGUUAGCUGCGCCACCGAAGGGCAUGCCCACCGACGGCUAGCAUUCAUCGUUUACGGCGUGGACUAC
rnacentral:misc_RNA from 1 species